AUGACUUCUUUUGUGCUGCAACCGUUGUCUAUGUUUGCUACAACCGACAACGAAAUUUGCUACCAGGCAAGGCGAACGUGUUUUGAGACCAUCCAAGGUAUGUUCCGCAGUGGCGUUGAAAAACGGCAAGCGCGGGCGAGCGUAGGUGGACGAGUCGAGCACGGGCGGCGCGGGGUGGCCAGCAAGCGCGCCGAGCACAGGUGGCCGAGGCGAGCAUGGGCGGCGCGGGGUAGCCGGCAAGCGCGGCCGAGCGCUGGGCGGCCAAGUUCGAGCAUGAGGCGGCUGACGCGCGGAGAUCUUCGUUUUUUCUGUUUUCGCGCGCGUGCCGGCCGCGGCCAUCUCGGCCGUUGA
rnacentral:rRNA from 1 species